AGCGAACGCUGGCGGCAUGCCUAACACAUGCAAGUCGAGCGCUCCCAGCAAUGGGGGAGCGGCGGACGGGUGAGUAACGCGUAGGAACGUAUCCUGAGGUGGGGGAUAACCCUGGGAAACUAGGGCUAAUACCGCAUGAUGGCGAGAGCCCAAAGAUUUAUCGCCUUGGGAGCGGCCUGCGUCUGAUUAGCUUGUUGGUGGGGUAACGGCCUACCAAGGCGAUGAUCAGUAGCUGGUCUGAGAGGAUGAUCAGCCACACUGGGACUGAGACACGGCCCAGACUCCUACGGGAGGCAGCAGUGGGGAAUCUUGCGCAAUGGGGGCAACCCUGAUCCAGCAAUGCCGCGUGUGUGAAGAAGGCCUGAGGGUUGUAAAGCACUUUCAGUGGGGAGGAGGAUACGUUGGUUAAGAGCUGAUGUAUUGGACGUUACCCACAGAAGAAGCACCGGCUAACUCCGUGCCAGCAGCCGCGGUAAGG
rnacentral:rRNA from 1 species